GCCUUCCCGGUGAGUCUGCGGGCUUAAACGGACGCGGUAAAGCGUGCUAAGGUAGCUAAAUUAUGGCCUAUUAAUUGUAGGUCCUGUGAAUGGUUUGACGAGUCUUCAACUGUCUCUAGUUUUUUUGGUGAACUUGAAUUGGAUGUGCAAAUGCUUCCAUGGGUAAGAAAGACGAGAAGACCCCGUGAAGUUAGAAAUUUUGGUUGUUGGUGAGCUUUUGGGGUGUAGGUUAAGUCACUUUAAGUGGUUUAAAGAAAAGUGAACAGCGAUAGUUUUGGCUGGGGCAGCAAAGAAGCAAGGCUAGACUUCUUUAGUUUAAAGACAGGUGUGUGACGACCCACAAGUUUGUUGGUGUGAUUAGCAGAAGAAGUUACUCCGGGGAUAACA
rnacentral:rRNA from 1 species